UCACCUGCCCCCCUGCCGCCAUCACCGCCACUCCCAGGUUAGGCCUUGUACAGUUUCUUUCUUGUUCUUGUACAUGGUCCUGGGGCCUCCACCUGCUUGUACACACAUGGUCCUGACAGGGGCGAUUUUACCGUACGGGUACCCUGGGCACGUGCCCGGGCUCGCUGCUGUCCCUUAUUAGAACUCUAGCGAGCUGCCGAAGCAGUUAGGAUCGAGAAACUUGUUGAAAUACGCUGUAAAAUCGGGAAAAUACGUUGAAAAUCAACUAACAGCUCUAACUGGGCCUUUUCUUAGCAGUUCGUUGUCAUUUGGGUCAUGGUCGCUGCAACCAAGAGCCAUAGGCGAUAGGCCCACUAUCUUGUUUUGUGCUGUCGUAGGUCCUACCCUCUUGGCCCACUCGUGAGGUUCGAGCUCAUGAAUUGAUUUGCUCCUUUGCUCAUGGAAACAAUCGACAGGGCUAUUGCCCUAGCAUUCCGGCCGCCUUUGAGGGUGGACUGGCCACCGGCGGAUUGCGGAGUGCCAAAGAGCAGAUGACAAGACAGAUAGUGUGUGGCAGGGCCUAGACUAGUGUGGACGGCAACACACCAUCGGCAGCUAGAUGAAUUGUUCUCUAUAAUUUACUAAUAAUGUACUUGUAUCUUGGCUAUUCUCUCGUGCACUUGGGUGACCACUGGUUGUUGGACUUUUGCCGUUGAGACAUCGAAUGGUUUGUGGUGUCGCUACAGAUUCAGAGUUAUUUGAUAUUGAAUCUCAUAUUAUUUACUUCUAUUCCAUGAUCUAUGAACAUCACUACAUCAGUGUUUAUUUUACACAUGACAUUUAUUCAAAUAUAUUAUAUUUGUGGUGUGUUUAUCAAAGUAAACUUAGUUAUGGUGUGCCCGGGCUUAAGAAAUUCGCUAGCUCCGCCACUGGGUCCUGACACGGGGAAAUAGCAGGAUACAACUACAAAGUGACUCACAGUUCCUCACUUGGUGGUGUUUUCAGUUUGCAAAGUAAAUAUAGCCUUGUUCCUGGAGAAGAGAUUUCACAGGAGAACUUCCGGGCAUAGCAGAGGUCCAUCGGUUCUCUGAAAAAUGAAAUCUGAUGGACCUAUUAUGCUACCCAUAUAUAUUAACUUGCUGUUUUCUGAGAAUAACGAAACUGAAGGGGAGUGGAGCCCCGUGAUAAGAGGAUCUAACAACGUUCUAGAUGUGUAGGUGAAAUCUCUAUGAUCAACUUUAGGAAAUUUCUUGUCUGGUCAUGAGUGAGCAUGUUACUAAAUUCUGUCAAGAUGAAAAAAUAUCUGAGAAACCUCCGGUCUGCAUAAAACUUCGCUCCAAGGGACAAUAAUUAAGUGCUGCUGAUAUUACAGCUGCUAGCUUCGUUAUUAUGUAAACAUAUACUGUAUAACAUACACCAGCCCAGCCAAACACACAUGAUAUAGCACACAAGUGUAUAUAUUAAUAAGUCAAAUGUGUGUACAAGCAUUGCACUUAUUACAUGGAACCGUAUUGUCCAGAGGAUAAGUUCAUAUGUUCCCCGCAAUUAUUUAGCCAAUUGAUCUUCACCUUCUGAAAAUAGUUAGCCAUCAUAUUUUGACCUCUUCUAAGCACAUUCUAAACCACACACA
rnacentral:lncRNA from 1 species